ensembl:antisense Gm13920 predicted gene 13920
AGAUCUCAUCCUAAGGAGGGGAGCAGCUCACAUGACUCCCAACAACAGAACAACUUAGAAAACCACAGCAGUGCAACGCAGGAGUGGGUAAUGCAACCGAGGAUGAGCGCAGGAGAACCAUACGGGUGUGGUUCAACAUGUGGAGUAUCGCAAAGUCAAAAUGCUAUGCCUGUCCUGGUCCCCCAGAUUGUGUGCCCAAGAGAUGGAAGGACUGUAGUGAGGAUGAAAUGGGCUGUCAUGGACCUCCAGUGAGGAACUGUGCCUGCACCUACAUUGCGUAUGGAAGAAUGUACCCAAGUGGAUAUUAGGCCUAGCCCAGAGGCUCUGCACAGAUAAAGCCAAGUCAGACCCAAUGUCUCCACGGUCCCCAAACUGUACAGUGUGAACUAAAAUCUGUCUACUCCACUCCUUCUUGAGCUCCGUUGACAUACCUGGACAUUAUAGUUGUGAGGACUCGGUCAAUUUCCAGUUAUACAAACCUGAAGAUGAUGGUUUUUUUUCCUUUUCACUCAAGGUGGAAAGUUUAAUUUGAAAGAUCAGAGGAACUAGCAAGACUGGACAAGCUAGAGCUGAUUUAAAAGAUAAAGGACCAACAGCUAUCUGGCCUGAUAAAGUAAGGGUUAAUUUAAAUCACCCUAGGCCAGAGAAAGGCUUAGCUUAAUCAAACUGGAACCAAGGUCUAGCCUCAGCCAAAACCCAAGUGGGAAAUCCAAAACCACAAAUCACAUUUGAUUUUCGUCCAUGGCAACACUUCAAACCCAGCUUUCUGCUCAUAAGCAUCCAGCACAGGCGCCUUGGGGUCCCUGCACUCCAGUGGGUCUGGGCAUCCAGAGCAUCAGGACCGUUCAACUCACUGAAAUAGCCUGGAAGGGCAGGAAGAAGGGGCCAAGGAUGAAGGGGCGGGGCAAGGUCUUGUCAGCAUCUGAGUGAGACACACCAGGGUGUCAUUCUCUACUUUACCUUCUGACUCAGAGGCUUUCAAACUGUCCCAAGGAAAAAUAGUCCAAGUCUCGUGUGUGACUGUUUACCUACAUAUAGAUCUGUGUAUGUGUGUGCUUGAAAAUACGACACAGGUUGAUUUUAAUGAAUACAACCAACAAGCCCAGCAGCCAGAAUAUAUAAAGAACUAACUCUGACAACCAAAAAGUAAAAGUCAGCAAGGCAGAAAACCUGGCAAAGGAUUCAGAAGUGUUUCCUAUAAAAGAGGCUGCUACACAGUCAGCCUCACGAGCGAUGCACAGCGAGGCAUCAGGCUGGAGCUCCACAGUAGAGGUUGUUGAUGAAGAUGCGGAGGGAGGUUUUCUCCUGGACUCUGAAGGGGAAGCAAUCAGUAGGCCCACCUUGGAAAUCAGUUUAUUAACAAGUAAUCCACCUCCUGCUCAAAAGAGACCUAUAAACAAACAAAAAAUGAAUGCUGAAGCCAAUAUGGGGGGAGGGGGAAUAAAGAACUGACCCAAAUGGUCAAAUCAGAGAGAGUUUUAACAAUGUAAUACUGAACAGCCUGGGUCAGGUAUUCCUAUAAAGAGCCACUUAGUUACAUAAUGGAGAUUUUGCCAGCCAUUUUGAUUUUCAUCUGUAUUGCAAUGACUUGAUUUGGCUAUUGUACUGAUACUUGAUAAACAAAGGACAUAGUUGUCUUCUAAUAAAACUUUAUUUACAAACAC